ensembl:snoRNA small nucleolar RNA SNORA17
CUUGCCUGUAUAGGCAUUGCAGGUGUGGCUGUUGUGUCACAUGUGUGUCUGUAGGUGGCAGAAAGAAAAGAGGCAAUGUCUACAGCCAGUAUUCUGACCUAUGAACAUCUGAAUGAUUAGUAGUAUAAGAUU